rnacentral:rRNA from 1 species
AGUGAACGCUGGCGGUAGGCCUAACACAUGCAAGUCGAACGGCAGCACAGUAAGAGCUUGCUCCUACGGGUGGCGAGUGGCGGACGGGUGAGGAAUACAUCGGAAUCUACUUUUUCGUGGGGGAUAACGUAGGGAAACUUACGCUAAUACCGCAUACGACCUACGGGUGAAAGCAGGGGAUCUUCGGACCUUGCGCGAUUGAAUGAGCCGAUGUCGGAUUAGCUAGUUGGCGGGGUAAAGGCCCACAAGGCGACGAUCCGUAGCUGGUCUGAGAGGAUGAUCAGCCACACUGGAACUGAGACACGGUCCAGACUCCUACGGGAGGCAGCAGUGGGGAAUAUUGGACAAUGGGCGCAAGCCUGAUCCAGCCAUACCGCGUGGGUGAAGAAGGCCUUCGGGUUGUAAAGCCCUUUUGUUGGGAAAGAAAAGCAGCAGGUUAAUACCCCGCUGUUCUGACGGUACCCAAAGAAUAAGCACCGGCUAACUUCGUG